rnacentral:rRNA from 1 species
ACGGGUGAGUAACGCGUGGGAAUCUACCCAUCUCUACGGAACAACUCCGGGAAACUGGAGCUAAUACCGUAUACGUCCUUUUGGAGAAAGACUUAUCGGAGAUGGAUGAGCCCGCGUUGGAUUAGCUAGUUGGUGGGGUAAUGGCCUACCAAGGCGACGAUCCAUAGCUGGUCUGAGAGGAUGAUCAGCCACACUGGGACUGAGACACGGCCCAGACUCCUACGGGAGGCAGCAGUGGGGAAUAUUGGACAAUGGGCGCAAGCCUGAUCCAGCCAUGCCGCGUGAGUGAUGAAGGCCCUAGGGUUGUAAAGCUCUUUCAACGGUGAAGAUAAUGACGGUAACCGUAGAAGAAGCCCCGGCUAACUUCGUGCCAGCAGCCGCGGUAAUACGAAGGGGGCUAGCGUUGUUCGGAAUUACUGGGCGUAAAGCGCACGUAGGCGGAUACUUAAGUCAGGGGUGAAAUCCCGGGGCUCAACCCCGGAACUGCCUUUGAUACUGGGUAUCUCGAGUCCGGAAGAGGUGAGUGGAAUUCCGAGUGUAGAGGUGAAAUUCGUAGA